AUGCUGUGAUGUCUGAAUUUCUUCACCUGAAUCAGUCUUGUUGACUAAAAUGAGCUUUUUAACCCUGAGCCAU